UACAGAGGUCUCAAGCGUUGUUCGGAUUCAUUGGGCGUAAAGGGUGCGUAGGUGGCGCCAUAAGUCAGGUGUGAAAUCUCGGGGCUCAACCCCGAAACUGCACUUGAUACUAUGGUGCUCGAGUACUGGAGAGGAGAUUGGAAUUUACGGUGUAGCAGUGAAAUGCGUAGAUAUCGUAAGGAAGACCAGUGGCGAAGGCGAAUCUCUGGACAGUUACUGACACUGAGGCACGAAGGCCAGGGGAGCAAACGGG
rnacentral:rRNA from 1 species